CUCAUUUUCACUGAUAUGAUUUGACAAGUCAUUGCAUAUUCGACUCUCUAUAAAGUAUGGCUGCUUGUCCGCAAGUGGAGAUCUUGCAACUUUGCAAUGGUUUAUCAUUUAUGCUCUUGCUUGUGAAUCACAACAGGAAAUGCAAAAGGAGACGAUAUAUAUAUAUACGCUUUCCUCUUUUUUAUUUUUUUAUGAUAAGUGGAUUAGAAGGGAUGAAAAUUCUUGUCUUCGCUGUUUGUUUGCAUCCAUUACAAGGGAUUCAAUGCAAACUUUUUCUUUUUCACCACAGUGUCCCAUGACUUUACCCGCUUAUGCAAUUCACAUUUGAGCUGAGUGGUAUUCAGGCAAAAUUCUUUUAACAGUGGUGACCCUCUCAACAAUGGCGACUCUCAAAUUCAAAGUUUAACUUUAAAGACUGAUGAUUGGAUCAAAUGGCUGUUUAUUUUUAUCACUGUAGCUCAAUGAGAUGGUCUUCAUUUGUGUUUUAAUUUCAUUGAUUUUUCUCAUACGAUUUUUUUUUAAUUUUUUGAUAUUGGAUAUUACAUUGCCUUGUUGAUCUUGUAUAAAAGUGUUUGAUUUAUA
rnacentral:misc_RNA from 1 species